rnacentral:rRNA from 1 species
CAGCCGCCACGGUAAUACGUAGGUGGCAAGCGUUGUCCGGAAUUAUUGGGCGUAAAGGGCUCGCAGGCGGUUUCUUAAGUCUGAUGUGAAAGCCCCCGGCUCAACCGGGGAGGGUCAUUGGAAACUGGGAAACUUGAGUGCAGAAGAGGAGAGUGGAAUUCCACGUGUAGCGGUGAAAUGCGCAGAGAUGUGGAGGAACACCAGUGGCGAAGGCGACUCUCUGGUCUGUAACUGACGCUGAGGAGCGAAAGCGUGGGGAGCGAACAGGAUUAGAUACCCCUGUAGUCCCUGUCUCUUAUAC